rnacentral:rRNA from 1 species
GACGGACGCUGGCGGCGUGCUUAACACAUGCAAGUCGAACGGAAAGGCCCUGCUUUUGUGGGGUGCUCGAGUGGCGAACGGGUGAGUAACACGUGAGUAACCUGCCCUUGACUUUGGGAUAACUUCAGGAAACUGGGGCUAAUACCGGAUAGGAGCUCCUGCUGCAUGGUGGGGGUUGGAAAGUUUCGGCGGUUGGGGAUGGACUCGCGGCUUAUCAGCUUGUUGGUGGGGUAGUGGCUUACCAAGGCUUUGACGGGUAGCCGGCCUGGGAGGGUGACCGGCCACAUUGGGACUGAGAUACGACCCGGACGACUACGGGAGGCAACAGUGGGGAAUAUUGCACACUGGGCGGAAGGCAGAUGCAGCAACCCCGCGUGCGGGAGGACGGCCUUCGGGUUGGAAACCGCUUUCGCCUGUAACGAAGCGUGAGUGACGGUAAUGGGUAAAGAAGCACCGGCUAACUACGU